rnacentral:rRNA from 1 species
UACGUAGGGUGCGAGCGUUAAUCGGAAUUACUGGGCGUAAAGUGUGCGCAGGCGGCCGCGCAAGUCGAGUGUGAAAUCCCCGAGCUUAACUUGGGAAUUGCGCUCGAAACUACGUGGCUGGAGUGUGGCAGAGGAAGGUGGAAUUCCACGUGUAGCGGUGAAAUGCGUAGAGAUGUGGAGGAACACCGAUGGCGAAGGCAGCCUUCUGGGCCAACACUGACGCUCAUGCACGAAAGCCAGGGGAGCAAACGGG